CAUUGUGCACCGCGGGAGAAAAGUAGGACAUUUCCUCCCACGCGGGAUGAGAUGUCCUACUUUUUCCCGCGGUGCACAUAC